rnacentral:rRNA from 1 species
GACGAACGCUGGCGGCGUGCUUAACACAUGCAAGUCGAGCGGAGCGGCGGAGGGGUGAGUAACGCGGGAGUAAUUGCCCCCCUCUCUGGGAUAGGAGUUGGAAACGGGUGCUAAUACCGGAUAGUGGGGGUUGACUGGCGGGCUAUGAGCUUGUUGGGGGGGUAGUGGCCUACCAAGGCGACGACGGGUAGCCGGCCUGGGAGGGGGAACGGCCUCAUUGGGCUGCGGUAGGGCCCAGAGUGCAACGUGGGGCAGGGGUGGGAAGUCUUGUGCACUGGGGGAGACUGUGAUGCAGCGACGCCGGGUGGGGGAUGACGGCCUUCCGGUUGGAAACCGCUUUCAGCCAUGACGCGGUAGUGGCAGAAGAAGCACCGGCUAACUACGUGCCAGCAGCCGCGGUAAUAC